AAAUGUUAAAAUAGGUCAAUAAGUGGGGCUUGGCGUGUUUCCAUGAGAUGCAGAAACAUACCUUUCUCACUGUCUUCCUCCAGGAACCUUCAACAUCCACUUUAAUGGUGAAGUUCUGCAAUAAUAUGAACAAAACAGAUUAGAAGAUAUGCCUAGCUCUAUAGAGCACAUAAACAGAUUCGAUGUAUUCUAAUUACAACUUUGAAUGGCAUGGACGAUAUGACCAUAUCUUUUUGAAACCAUGAAUGCAAAAAUGGGGAAGACGAUAUAUUUUGUAUUUAUAGAUUUUGGACGAUAUCUUUUUUUACAAUUCUUUGAUUUAGUUUCUAUUCUGGAAGCUGAUAGAGCUUCUUUUUCUGCGAUAGAUUUAAGAUCUUGUGUGAUUGUAACCACGAUUUACUUAGAUUCUUUCCUUAAAACAAAAAUGGAAAUGAUCUUGGAGAAACAAUUAUUCCAAAUACGUAUAAAAAGAUAGCUAGCUACCUAGGAUUGUUAUCGUUAUAAUAAUAACUAGUUAAGAAAUAUAACUUGUUUCUUUGAUCUCCUCACCCACCGCUCUGUUCUGUUUCGUGUUGUUUGAUUUGAUGUCCAUGGAGCCAUGCGCAGACAUGGUAAUUAAACCCAUCCCAUCUGGUUAAUUAAUUACUGUAUGUAGUUUAGCAAUCACCAUAGGAAUUAAAUUAGACGAACGAUGGUUUUUGAUGAAUUUGGUUUUUUUGUUUUGAAGGAGUGUUGCCUGAAAGUCCACUCCAAGUGUGAGUCGUGUAUGAUGAAGACGAUUGAGGUGUUACGUUCUAUCAGUGGUAAGGUUUUUAUGUUAGCAGCCAAAAAAUAGUAAUAGUAGGAGUCUAUUUAUUAUAUCAAAUUAAUUAGGUUUUGACUUUUGAUUAUGAUUUAACAACGGAGAUGGUAAUGGUAGGAGUCUAUUCGGUGACCUGGGAUGCUGAAAAAAAUAUUUUCAAAAUAUCUGGAGAGGUUGAUCCAAACAUACUUCUCAAGGCAGUGAUGCGGACAGGUGAACAUGCGGAGCUCGUCAAUGUAAAACUCAAUCACCCACAGCUAAGACACACAAACUAUAACUAUAAUUAUAAUAAUCAUAAUUUUGGUUAUGGUUAUCAUAUUCCUUCAUCCUCCUCCUACAGGAGGAGGGAUAUAAGGCCACUGCCUGAGCAUGAAUUCUACCCAGUUACUAGUAGUGCUUACAGGAGGCCACCUGGGAUUCAGUAUCUGCCUUCUAAUUACGACACCACCAGCUAUGGCUAUGGCUAUGAAAACCCCCUGCCACCGGCAACCUAUGUGCCAUCAUAUCCAUAUCAAGAGCAUGAUCCAUAUGCUAAUUAUGAGGGGGUCAGCUUUUGCACCAUCAUGUGACCCUGCCAUUGGAGAUUUGGACUCAACUUUUCAACAUCAAUGUAUCUCUUGUUUCUUUAAUAUUUGUUUUUAGGUUUCUCAGAAACGUUUGAUGAUAUUUUAGCCUAAGUACGUAAAAUAUUUAGGUCAUGUGAGUAUGUGACGUCCUUUGCAGUUUGCAUCCACCGUGAUUUGUUUUUUUUUUUUUCUCUAAAUGGGGAAGACAUAGUAUUUGCGAAAUUUCUUGCGGAAGGCUAGCUAAUUUACAAUGUGUAAGUAAAACAAGGAAUCUAGAAACACAACCAACCAAACUAGUAACAUACCAAACAAUUUGAUUUCACUCUAUUCCAUUUGUCACUGAUAUAAGUUUGACACUACAUCUUGCCCGUGUAGUGUCUCGAGGUCCCUCUUUAAACCAUGAUACCAGCCCUCCUAGAUAUGUAACUUGUUUCGCCCAACAAUCAGCUAAUCAAGAAGGUGAUCCUAACCCCCGACCAGCUGUGUCUAACCCGCUACAGUCCCUUCAUAGUCAAGCUCUUUCAACAACUCGAUCAGACGACAAUGACUAGAUUAACAACACCCUUGGUCCAUGUAGCCCCUUUUAAACCAGAUGAGCAUGAUUUUCAUCUUCUUAGUCGACAUGGUCACGACAUAAUGACAGGUUGCCUUCACACCGCCAUUUUAAGGAAAGUCGGUGAAUGUGAACAAUUUUUGGAUAAUGGUUGCGAAA
rnacentral:lncRNA from 1 species